rnacentral:rRNA from 1 species
UACGGUAGGGGGCUAGCGUUGUCCGGAUUUAUUGGGCGUAAAGAGCGUGUAGGCGGCCAGAUAGGUCUGCUGUGAAAACUCGAGGCUCAACCUCGAGAUGUCGGCGGAAACCAUUUGGCUAGAGUCCGGAAGAGGAAAGUGGAAUUCCUGGUGUAGCGGUGAAAUGCGCAGAUAUCAGGAAGAACACCAAUGGCGAAGGCAGCUCUCUGGGACGGUACUGACGCUGAGACGCGAAAGCGUGGGGAGCGAACAGG